UGGUGUAAUUUAUUUGCUGUAAAUCUUGUGACUGCUGCCACCUCAUUCUCAUCCUGUUCUCUCUCCUAUUUAAGCCCUGUACCAAAGGAAGACUGUGUUGUAUCUGAACUCUUGCAUGUAAAUGAAGUAGAUCGAAGUGUUGGGCAUCAGAAUGGAAAAGCGAGUAGUACAUGGAUCCUCAAGGAUUAUAUGGACCUUGAUGUUUGUUCAAAGACCACCAAAUUAGCAGUCACUCCCUGCAGUGCUGAUGACUGUAACCAAAACUUGAUCGAUAUUGCUGGCAUUUCUGAGAGCUGUAUCAAUGCACUUGAAGAGAAUGGAGGAAGAGUGACAUCCUUGACCAAACCUAUUGAGGAAACAUCAGGACUCUAAACAGCUUGAUUCUGAACAUCACUUGUGAUUGCACUUGCAUAUUCAGUAUUUUUACGACGUGCUGAAGGCCUUGUUACAUGAAGCUGCUUCUCUGGAGUUUCCUCCUCUUUCCCAGAAGAAUUAACAGGAUCGUAACAAAGAUGGCAUAUGAAAUGUCACAUAGAGAUGCUCAUUUGCACCGUUCAAAGUUUCAGGGGCAUAUUCCUUGACUACAUUGUUUGUUUCCUCAGUGGCUGAUAGUUCUUUUGAUUUUUAUGAUCUGCUUUUGGCAGUGAGUGUAAUCAGGUGACAUUUCAUUCCUUUCCUUACACUGUUUUGUCUGACCAGAUAUUCAGGCCAGCUUUGUUUUCAUUCUAGUGGCAUUUGCCAUUCUGGUCUGAUACCACAUCCUGAAUGAAUGUUCCAUCUCCCCAACUGCAGGGCAAAGGGUGUCUAUACCUCAGUGUUUGCAGUGGAAUUAUCCCAGUUCUAUUUGUUAAAACUUACUUUUUUUAAGAAAGUGUUAAAAUAAACCUGUUGACAGAAGUGAUGGAACUAAAGAGGAAAUUCUCAAUUCUGAUUCAGAGCUGAGACAUGUUUUGUUAGAAUUGCAAAAUUAAAUUUGUUUGUGACACAGGUUUGAUUUUGUGAUCUUUAAAGUGCUCUGCUCACUUUUAGUGGCUGAAGUCUUUGUCCUUUGGGAGAGUAUUCUACCUAAAGAAAGUUCUCAGCCCAUUUCCACCUCUCACCCCGUGACCAUUCUUCUGUCUGCCUCUUUUCUACCCCUCCCCACGCCCCUUUCCCCUCUGUCUUCUGCCACGCCCUCUCUCUCUCUCUCUCCUCCCCACCACCCCACCCCCUCUCCAGCCAUACUUUGCAAUAUCUGGAUCUUUUAGAUUUAAUUCCAUGAGCAUUGCAUUAGGACAAAGAGUUAAUGGUAUAGGAGAGGCUAGUUUUUAAGAAGUAUGCUAGGUGGGUGAGAGAUGCUUAGGCUUUCUAAUAUGAAAAUAUUGGUUGGUGUUUCUUUACAAAGUUUGUGUCUUACAUGUACUGCAAUAGGAAACCAAAUUGUGAGCUAAUGUUAUUUAAACAUACUCCUGUUCUAUGUCAAACCUUCUAGAAUACUGUAUUUUCAAAUAAGCCUGCACUACUAACGUACAUUAAAAAUGAAAUGGCUUCAGUUGAUAAACUCAAGUAUUUGUAGGUAGCAAAUUAAUAUUUACAUGUAUUUGACUCGUUUUAAGAUAAGUUUUCUUUGUUUAAUGUAUUUAAGUUUCUCCAUAUAAAUCUAAGUAUUAUUGUACAUACAGGCAGUAUUGGGCCACCAAAACCAUUUCUUAAUGAACACCUUUUUUAAAUGUUCUUCAUGUAUUAGGGGUUGUAUCGUUGAGAAUUAUGCCAACACCAUCCAGCAAGUUUAAACCACCUGUUCACUGUGGCCCUUAACUUGCUAAUUCAUAUCAUAUCCACGUGCUCUCUGCACGUACAAAUCUGAAGUGAAACUGUAUGUUUUCUUAGCUUAUGGAAUUAAAUAGCUGCUACCUUGCAUAGGAAGCUGCCUUCUUUUUACUGCACUUGCCCCAUCUGUUACAUUUAUUAGCUAUUACCUCUUUAUCUAAUUUAUGUUACGUUCCCUGUUAACCUCAUCCACGGGGCCAGCAAUGAUUACCUGCUUAGCCAUGUCCACUCCUCUUAAAGGGAAGCUGUUUCUUCAAUGGCUGCUCUUUCUUUGUUUAAACUACUCAUUACAAUUGCAUUAGUUUGUUUCCUAGCUGAGCAUUGUCAAUCUUUCCCUUGGUGCAGGUUUUAGAUAUCAGAAUCUUCUAGUCUGUAUCAAAUGCUGAAAACUGUUGAGCUCACUACAUGCAGCAUUGAGUUAGACUAGAGCAGUGCCUUAGAUUAACCAUUGAGUGUAUUUUUGUAAGAUAGUUAACUUGAAACCUUUGCAAGAAAAUGACAAUCGCCAACUGAAGUCCCCUCUGGCUGUGCUCAUUACUCUUAUUCAGUGCCCUGUUGACAGCUGUAUGUAAAUAGCAAAAUCUGUGUAUCACUUCAAUCAAUUUUACAAAAUAAAAAAUGGACAUGGUUUACCAUUUAAUUUUA